UGACAGUACUCCUACGGGGAGGCAGCAGUGGGGGAAUAUUGCACAAUGGGCGCAAGCCUGAUGCAGCCAUGCCGCGUGUGUGAAGAAGGACCUUCGGGUUGUAAAGCACUUUCAGUCGUGAGGAAGGUGGUAGUGUUAAUAGCACUAUCAUUUGACGUUAGCGACAGAAGAAGCACCGGCUAACUCCGUGCCAGCAGCCGCGGUAAUACGGAGGGUGCGAGCGUUAAUCGGAAUUACUGGGCGUAAAGCGCAUGCAGGUGGUUUGUUAAGUCAGAUGUGAAAGCCCGGGGCUCAACCUCGGAAUAGCAUUUGAAACUGGCAGACUAGAGUACUGUAGAGGGGGGUAGGAAUUUCAGGUGUAGCGGUGAAAUGCGUAGAGAUCUGAAGGAAUACCGGUGGCGAAGGCGGCCCCCUGGACAGAUACUGACACUCAGAUGCGAAAGCGUGGGGAGCAAACAGGAUUAGAUACCCUGGUAG
rnacentral:rRNA from 1 species